rnacentral:rRNA from 1 species
GCUACCUGAUUCAGCGGCGGACGGGUGAGUAAUGCCUAGGAAUCUGCCCGAUAGUGGGGGACAACGUUUCGAAAGGAACGCUAAUACCGCAUACGUCCUACGGGAGAAAGUGGGGGAUCUUCGGACCUCACGCUAUCGGAUGAGCCUAGGUCGGAUUAGCUAGUUGGUGAGGUAAUGGCUCACCAAGGCGACGAUCCGUAACUGGUCUGAGAGGAUGAUCAGUCACACUGGAACUGAGACACGGUCCAGACUCCUACGGGAGGCAGCAGUGGGGAAUAUUGGACAAUGGGCGAAAGCCUGAUCCAGCCAUGCCGCGUGUGUGAAGAAGGUCUUCGGAUUGUAAAGCACUUUAAGUUGGGAGGAAGGGCAGUAAGCUAAUACCUUGCUGUUUUGACGUUACCAACAGAAUAAGCACCGGCUAACUCUGUGCCAGCAGCCGCGGUAAUACAGAGGGUGCAAGCGUUAAUCGGAAUUACUGGGCGUAAAGCGCGCGUAGGUGGUUCAGCAAGUUGGAUGUGAAAUCCCCGGGCUCAACCUGGGAACUGCAUCCAAAACUACUGAGCUAGAGUACGGUAGAGGGUGGUGGAAUUUCCUGUGUAG